AUUGAACGCUGGCGGCAGGCUUAACACAUGCAAGUCGAGCGGAGCGAGGGUGCUUGCACCUUAGCUUAGCGGCGGACGGGUGAGUAAUGCUUAGGAAUCUGCCUAUUAGUGGGGGACAACAUUCCGAAAGGAAUGCUAAUACCGCAUACGCCCUACGGGAGAAAGCAGGGGAUCUUCGGACCUUGCGCUAAUAGAUGAGCCUAAGUCGGAUUAGCUAGUUGGUGGGGUAAAGGCCUACCAAGGCGACGAUCUGUAGCGGGUCUGAGAGGAUGAUCCGCCACACUGGGACUGGGACACGGCCCGGACUCCUACGGGAGGCAGCAGUGGGGAAUAUUGGACAAUGGGCGGAAGCCUGAUCCAGCCAUGCCGCGUGUGUGAAGAAGGCCUUUUGGUUGUAAAGCACUUUAAGCGAGGAGGAGGCUACUAGUACUAAUACUACUGGAUAGUGGACGUUACUCGCAGAAUAAGCACCGGCUAACUCUGUGCCAGCAGCCGCCGUAAAAC
rnacentral:rRNA from 1 species